UCUGGGAGCGCUGCCUGGCCGGCAGGCUCUGAGAAUCUGGAGUUUCAGUGAGAUGGCGGGGCCCAGCCAGGGGGCUGCUGGUCAACUAGCGUGAUACCCACAGACAGGGGUCAUCCUGCGGAGACCUCAAAUCCUGGCUGAGAAUCCCUCACUACCUGAGCGGCAGACUCCCCCCACCCCAUGGCCAAGGAGACGCAGACUCCGCCAUCGCUACCUGGCUGGUCCGGGUGAUGCAGCGGCGGAUGAGGUCCCUGAUGUUGUUGCGCUUGUCCGUCUGGAAGUACACAGUGACGCUGGACUUUUCCUUCAGACGCCAGUUGGUUCAGAGACAGUUUCCCUGAUGGGCCCCUGAGAUCUGCCAUCCAUCCUGUGCCCAUGUGAGGAGGGAAGCUGGAUGCCCCCCAGGCAGCACUGUUCACCAGGCACUGCUCCUUUCUCUUGGUAACACCUCCAAGUUCCCAGCCCUCCCCAUUCUCUGGAAAAGCCUUCUUUCCCAUCUCUCUUCCCUUAUUGUGUUUGCAGCGGUCAUGCUUGAACAGAACCCCCAGAGAGGUUCCAUUUCUGGGGCCGGCGCUGAUCUGUUGGAAGCGACGGCUGCUUGGAAUACUAUCUGGAGAAGAAUCUUCGGCUGUGUCCGGGCCCACGGACCGGACCGAUGGGAUCAGUCUGUCUUGGUGCUGGUGGGGCAGGUGGCCGCAGGCGUGUUUGAAGUAGAUGAACUGCUAAGGGAGGAGCCACUUUUUCUUUCCAGGUCAGGCCAUGGUCAAUUCCACGUCAAUGGAAUGCAAAACCUAGAGCCCUGAUGUUACUGAAUCAGGUCUGACUGCUUGAUGCGCAAAAAUCAAUAUUCCAGAGAGAGACAAAAGUUGGUGAAAAGGAAAGCUGCCUUUAAUCAGAAUGCUGGCAAUCUGGGGAAAUGGACCCAGUGUCCCCAAAACCCACCUCCCAAAAUUCUGCUCAGCCGUGGAGUUUGUAAAGGGAAAAGGGGAAGUAAUCUCAGUCAUUGACGUAGGGAGUCAGAGUCGUCGCCAUCCCUCCCCGUGUGCAGGCUUGUCGGCUCCUUGUGAUUCUCCCUUAGGUGCUCUCUUGUUCACACAGUUUGUUCGUGAGAUUGCUGAAAGAAAAGCUAGGGAAGAGAUCUGGUCAUCGGCUGAUUACUUAUUCUUCAUUUCUAAUUUGGUCUAUGGAAAGAACCAACAGAUUAGACAAGGUGUGGUGUGAUCAAAAGAUUUGAAAGGUGUGCUAGGGCCGGAGGUGAGUAGGGCAUAGGGCGCCUGGUUUGAGGUUAGUGACAGGACAAAGGGGCCUCCUGCAGAGAGCUCUUUCCUGCCCAAAGCUGCUUACACGGACUGCCUUUGAUUGGGUUCUUCCAGAAACAGACUAGGAUUCGAGUACAAGUAGCCAACUGGGAGGUGAUCCCAAGAUGCUCUGGUAGGGGAGCAGAGGAGUGAGACAGGAAGGUGAGGGGAAGCUGCUCGGGGCAGGGUACGUUAAGGAGCAUGUCACCAUUGUGGACAUCUGGGAUUUCUGAACAUCUGUGGGAACGUCUGGGCUCUGGUCCUGCCGGGGACCUCCAGGAGACGGUAUAGAAUACAUCUCAGACUUUUCCUACCCAAAGGCUGAGAAAACUGCAGAAUCUAUCUACCAACCCCCACUGAUCGUUGGUCCAGGGCUGCUUGUGGGGCUGCAUUAGUUCCCCAGCCCUACUGGCCGGUUCUGUGGGCUCGCCAAGCACAGCCCUGGAGCCCGAGAAAGCCUGCAGGCAGAGGUCACAAGUGCAAAGGACAAGCUAACGAGGUAAGAGCGGGGCCCCGACAAUAUCCGCUAUGAGAACUAUGGCAGGAAACUAGGAUUGAGUGGUCUUCAGACAGCUGGCACGUGGUAAGAGCCAGAUGCCUCUCCGCGGCACAUCUAUCUACUCUUUGGAGGACGUGCUAUAUAUAUGCUUCUGUAGCCCCACAAAAGCUGUGGAGGGAGGCUGUCUGGAAGUAGAGCAGUGUUUCUAAACGCACAGUCCAAGAAAGAGAAAGGGGAUUUAAAAGGGAUUUCUUCUCUUUUGAAGGAUAUAGAAGGAAUCUAAUUCAAGACCUCGGGCACCCUUCCCCUUAUUCCACUUUAUCUCCUUCCACAGGGCAUGGACCCUUGAUGGGGACAAAGCUAAUACCCUCUCUGUCUUUGGUGCCCCUGGCUCCGCACGCCCUCCCUUCUGCCAGCUCCCUGCUUGUGCAGGUUGACUUCACCUCUUGCCCACAUUCUCCUUGGACCUUCCCUCCUCUCCAUCUCCUCUGGGUCCUCAGCCCACUCUCCAAUCUGUCAUCAAAUCCAGUCCCCAGUCUGGUGAGGGGAUAAUAAUCCGUGGGAUUUGCGCUGGUUCCCUCCGAGGCUCAGAAGCUGUGGAUGGCUUGCAGUUGCCUGGCACGUUGAGCACCAAGUCUCGAGCCUAGCCUUUGGGGCCCUGCAUGUCUGUGACCUGUGUGAACAUUGCAGCCUGACCUCUCCUCCACUUGGCCGUCAUCGAGUCCUCCCUGCACGCUGGCUCUCUGAGCUAAGGGACACAUGGAGGAUGAGGCUUCGUCUCACAGAUGAGGCGCUGUGGAUUAUGGACAACUUACUUCCCUUCUUCCAUCCUGUGACCUGAAGUGUAGUCUCUCUGACUCAUGAGGAUACUGACAAAGAGAGAAAUGCAAUGUUGUAGAAGAUUCCCACUUGCACCCCUCUUCGUUGCUAGUGACUUAAAAAGACUAUAAGGAUGAAUCAGCUCACUGUGGCCAGCUCCCUGCUUCCCUUCAAUGAGCAAAGCCCUGCUCUGUGUGAGAAGAAGGCACCCCAGGAAAUGGCUGACCACGAAGACCACAGUCUUUAAGACUGACCUUCCUGUUGCCAAUGGAGACCAUGAAGACAUGACAAGAAGGGCUGAACCGAACCACAGCCUGGCGCUAGCCCAGCCAACAACACACCUGUGAGCAAGAAAAAUACAUGCUUACCUGGAAAACAUGCUGAGUCAAGUAAGCCAGACACAAAAGGACGAAUAUCGUAUGAUCCCACGUAUAUGAAAUAUCUAGAAAAGGCAAAUUCACAGACAGAAAAUAGAUUAGAAGCUACCAGGGGAGGAGAAUGAGGGGAGAGAGGGGAAAGAAGGGCUAUUACUUAAUGGGCACAGAGUUUCUGCUUGGGGGGAUGAAAAGGUUUUGAAAACAGAUGUUAUGAUAGUUGCACAACAUCGCAAAUGUACUUAAUGCCACUGAAUUGGACACUUAAAAUGGUUAAAGUGGUAAAUUUUGUGUUAUGUAUAUCUCAUACCACAAUUUCAAAAAAUAAUAAUGUAACAUACCAAAAAUACAUUGAAUUGUACACCUUACUUUUAAAAAUAUUUAUUUUAUUUACUUAUUUUCCUUAGGCUGUGUCAGGUCUUAGUUGUGGCACACAGAGUCUUUGCUGAGGCAUGCAGGAUUCUCUCUAGUUGUGGUGCAGUGGCCUCGCAGCAUGUGGGAUCUUAGUUCCCUGACCAGGGAUUGAACCCACGUCCCCUGAAUUAAAAGGCAGAUUCUUUACCACUGGACCACCAGGGAAGUGCCUGAAUUACAUACAGUUUAAACAAGUAAAUUGUAUGGCAGGAGAAUUAUAUUUCAAUAAAGCUAUUCAAAAAGAAA